rnacentral:rRNA from 1 species
GUGAGGAAUUUUGCGCAAUGGGCGAAAGCCUGACGCAGCGACGCCGCGUGGAGGACGAAGGUCUUCGGAUCGUAAACUCCUGUCAAGAGGGACGAAUGCAACACGGGCUAACAUCUCGUGGAGCUGACGGUACCUCUGGAGGAAGCCCCGGCUAACUCCGUGCCAGCAGCCGCGGUAAUACGGAGGGGGCCAGCGUUGUUCGGAAUCAUUGGGCGUAAAGGGCGCGUAGGCGGCCAAGCAAGUCGGAGGUGAAAUCCCUCGGCUCAACCGGGGAACUGCCUCCGAAACUGCUUGGCUUGAGUCCCGGAGAGGAUAGCGGAAUUCCCAGUGUAGCGGUGAAAUGCGUAGAUACUGGGAGGAACAUCGGUGGCGAAGGCGGCUAUCUGGACGGGCACUGACGCUGAGGCGCGAAAGCUAGGGGAGCAAACAGGAUUAGAAACCCGAGUAGUCC